CCUACGGGUGGCAGCAGUGGGGAAUAUUGGGCAAUGGAGGAAACUCUGACCCAGCAACGCCGCGUGAAUGAUGAAGGUCUUCGGAUUGUAAAGUUCUUUUCUAAGGGAAGAAGAAAGUGACGGUACCUUAGGAAUAAGCCUCGGCUAACUACGUGCCAGCAGCCGCGGUAAUACGUAGGAGGCAAGCGUUAUCCGGAAUGACUGGGCGUAAAGGGGGCGUAGGUGGUUUGACAAGUUGGUAGCGUAACUCCGGGGCCCAACCUCGGCACUACUACCAAAACUGUCGGACUUGAGUGCAGGAUGGGCAAAUGGAAUUCCUAGUGUAGCGGUGGAAUGCGUAGAUAUUAGGAGGAACACCAGUGGCGAAGGCGAUUUGCUGGACUGUAACUGACACUGAGGCACGAAAGCGUGGGGAGCAAACAGGAUUAGAUACCCUAGUAGUC
rnacentral:rRNA from 1 species